rnacentral:rRNA from 1 species
GCCCUUGGCGAGAUCGAGUGCUAUGCUUGUCUCAAAGAUUAAGCCAUGCAUGUGUAAGUACAGGCCGACUUAAGGCGAAACCGCGGACGGCUCAUUAAAUCAGAUAUAACUCAUUGGAUCUCUGCCGAACCGCACUACUUGGAUAACUGUGGUAAUUCUAGAGCUAAUACAUGCCUUUGUAGUCUCCGACCGCGAGGGAGGAGACUACAAAGGCAUGUAUUAGACCAAAACCCUCGGCGGCCGGCCCUUCAACCGGCCGGCCGCGAUCUCCUUGGUGAAUCAGAAUAACUUUGGCCGAGCGCACGACCCCUCCCGCAACCCGGGUUGGGUCGGCGCCGCGUCCUGCAGGCGUCUGCCUUAUCAGCUCUCGAUUGUAGGUUAAACGCCUACAAUGGCUAUCACGGGUAACGGGGAAUCAGGGUUCGAUUCCGGAGAGGGAGCCUGAGAAACGGCUACCACAUCUAAGGAAGGCAGCAGGCGCGCAAAUUACCCACUCCCGGCACGGGGAGGUUGUGACGAAAAAUACUGUUGCGAGCCCCGAACGGGGCCUCGCAAUUGGAAUGAGUACACUUUAAAUCCUUGUACGAGGAUCGAGUGGAGGGCAAGUCUGGUGCCAGCCGCCGCGGUAAUUCCAGCUCCACUAGCGUAUAUUAAAGUUGUUGCGGUUGAAACGCUCGUAGUUUGACUUCUGCUCCGGACCGGCGGUCCGCCUUAGCGGCGGCUACUGCCGGGUUCCGAGCUGUGUCCCCGCCGGCGCGCACGGGGUUUUUUAUGCCCUUAACCGGGUGUCCCCCUGUGGCCGGCACGUUUACUUUGAAAAAAUUAGAGUGCUAAAUAGUCGACGGGUCUCUCGCCCAGCCUUCGCCCUCGGGCGUGGGCUCGGGUUCCCCUAAACCCGGCCGUCGCGCGGGCCUCCGCCGUCGGUUGGUUAGCGCCGCCGGCGGCGCGCCCCGCGGCGCCGGAAACUGGCGUCCGCUUCGCAGUCUUCUUCUUAGAGGGAUAAGCGGCAGCAAAAAAUAUACUAGCCGCACGAGAGUUUGAGCCAUAACAGGUCUGUGAUGCCCUUAGAUGUUCUGGGCCGCACGCGCGCUACAAUGGAGAGUUCAGCGAGCUGUCCCUGCUCCGAGAGGAGCGGGUAACCUCGUGAAAGCUGUCCUUAAAGGGGAUUGGGGCUUGCAAAUGUUCCCCAUGAACGAGGAAUUCCCAGUAGGCGCAAUUCACCAGAUUGCGCCGAUUUAGUCCCUGCCCUUUGUACACACCGCCCGUCGCUACUACCGAUUGAAUGGUCUAGUGAGGGCACCGGACUGGCGCCCUUGGAGCCGCUACCGCCGCCUCGGCGGCGGCCAGCGCCCUCGGGUCGACGGAAAGGUGUCCAAGGCUGGGUCAUUUAGAGGAAGUAAAAGUCGUAGCGUACUCUUGCGAGCAGACCUACGCCAA